AAAGAGCUGCUGUGGAAAAAAAAAAAGAAGAAUAUUGCAGUCUGCUUUUUCAAAUGCUUUAAGUUCUCACAGUUAAAGUAAUAUCAGGAAUAAUUAUGUGUGAAAUAAUUAAUUGUAUAUACCCUGAAUGCUUCUUGCUAGUUACAUCUCUGAUUUAAAAUUCAAUGCUAAGUACCAUGGUUUUCUAAUUGUGAUAACAUUUCAUUCUUGGAUUGUCUGUAGAAAUUACAUUUUUCAAAUUGAACUGCAGGACAUGAGGAUCUGUAGAUGACAGAAAACUGAUACCCAGGUGGAGUGAGAAAAUGCCUCCAAAAUGAAGGUAAAUGUGAGUAUGCAGAUCCCUGGCUGUGUGUGAUCUUUUUCUGCACAACAGCAUUUAAAAAUGCAUAGAACUCUUAGGCUCACUGCAACUGUUGAAAAUAUGAGGAAGAAAUACUCUGGGAUCCAUCUGCGCAUUUUUAACCCUGUUCUGUCACAGAGCACCAAAGACAAGGCAAAGUCUCCCUUCACAAGCAGCAGAGGAUGCCUUUGUCCUCCAAAAGAACAAUAUAUUCUGAGGGAAGGAAAAGGAAGGACACAGUAAUUUUUUCAUCUGAGCUUGUGGCAUUUCUGAGAGUGGGAAGCAUGUGGCUCAUCUGAAGAGCUUUCACCCCAAAAAGUCCUUGUCUGAGAGUGACAGAACCCACCUUGAUUUCAUUUUACCAGCAAAUUAUUAUGCAUUGGUAGAUGAAGCAAGAAAGAUGCAAGAAAGGAUGGAAGAUACUAAAACAAAAUAAUUAACUUUUUAACUUAUGUUAGAUGUUCCUAAACAGAACUGGGUACACUGGGAAUUCCCUGUGAAAUUCCAGUCCCUGGGGUAAGGAUGGGCUUUGGUUGGGUUCAAAGAGGUGAAAAGAAACACUUUGGGGUAAAUCCACAGAGGGGCAUGACAGGAUGUGUCGACAUCAAAGCAGCCUCAUCAAUAUUUUAUAUUAAUACCUUUCUCUGAGUCACAGAAUCAUUGAGGAUUUAAAAGAACUCCAAGAUCAUCGAAUCCACCCCAGAAUUGCCAUGUCCACCAUUAUAAUGAAGCCAUGGCUGAGGUAGGUGUGUUAUUUCCUAUAAAACACACUUCAGAGGAGCUGACCUACCCAGAGACCCCCAAAACCUCUGCAGGUUCCCAUCUGAAGCUCUGGGCCCUUGAGCUGGUUCAAAUAUAUUUCUGAAAAGCUGCUCACUCUCUGAGACCAGCUGAGAGCCAGUUUUGCAUCGUAAGCUUAAACUUUUGUCAAUAUUUGUGAAAUAUAUUUAGACAGCUUAUUCAGAAAUGAGUAAGUUAUAGAUCAGUAAUUCAUACUUUUUAUAUCCCGAGUUUUUAUUUCCUAAACUUACUCUUCUAAGCAUCGUUUUAUGUUUCUAGUUAAAUAUAAGUGAGAAUUGAUUGGGGUAUUUCUCAAUGGAAUUCUAUCUUUAUUUCAUCAUAAUUGCUUCAUAUUUGAAUAAUGACAGAUGAACUACUUCAUUCAAUUGCAGUUUUAAGGCUUUGAAGUCACAAUAGCAGCAAAGGAUUUAAAUCCUGAAACCAUUAUUAUGGCAGAGAAGACAUCAGGGAAAAGGAAAACUUAUGGUAGUGUAAUUUUCUAGACAGAAAAAUUCUUCUGCAGUUGCACUUUUUUCUUUUAUUAUUUUUUUCUGUGGACAUUUUAUUAAUGUUAAAAAAACCCUGGAAGAAGAGAUUGGAAAUGCUGAAUGAGAGUCUUGCUGUAAGUAAACUUCUGUAGUUAUUUGGCUUUGGAGCUGGCUACAAACCUUUUAAAAUUCUGGGCAGCUGCAAUACUGUAUUUCACCAAUAAAGAGUUCAUUAGAUCUUUUUUCUCUCUGACAUUUUACAUCUAGUCCUGAGUACAUGUUAAUACUCCAAGGUAUGAAUUUCAAAGUUCCCUUUAUCUUUGUGUACAGUUUUAAGCAAUUAAUCAAAUGAUAAAAUACUGCUUUAAAAUUAGAAACGAAUUGUGAAUUUAAAGUAUAUGUUCAAAAAGUUGCUACAUUAUAAUUUGGGGGAGGGGGGUGGGGCCUCAUCAACUGAACUUAAUUCUGGUGUUCCUUUUUAUUUUUUUUAUUACCUUACAUUUUACUGAGGAAUUUUGAAGUGAUCCUCAAAUUGUUAAAACAUGACCAAGCGGUCUAUCCAGGAUAGUUCUUCCUCCUCAGAGGCUGCAUCGAAGUGGCAGAGACAUAGAAAAAUCAUUAUUCAAUAUGUUCAAAAUGAUUCCCACGUGGGGGAAGAUUUAUACAGGCUUCUGAAAUGAGCGUGGGGGCAAACAGCACCGAGACCCCUUGGUCCGAAAUAAGAGUGAGUGGCAGUCCUACCAUCCCUGUACAAGGCCUAAUGUUUAAUGUUUAUUUUGCUCAGAAGAAUUAGGAGGGUCAUAGUAACUGGAGCUUGAAAAAAAGGUCUGGAUACCCCCAUUCACCAAUAACCUGAUUUCCUGACAUCUCCCAGAUCCUGUGGGAAUACAAUUGCCUGCCAGAAGGAGGGAGCUGAGGAAAAGGGCAAAGAGGUAGAGCCAUGCACACAAACCAGAAGGAUCUGUGUAUUACAUGAGCAAAUAAAAUCACAGGAAGGGAUUGGAACUGACGGACGGAAUUAAUUAAUUCAACUAACUGCUUCAAGUCUUUGAUAAACUGAUUUUUUUUGAUGUUUCCCAGUCCAUUCCAGGCAGCACAGUCUCCCCUGAAAGCUUCUGGACACAAGAGAGGACAUUCAUCUGUCUGCAGAGGAGUUUGACAUCCUGCAACUGACUCUGCCUUGCAUUUGUUGCUUUCUUUUUCCUGGCAUCAGUGCCUGGACAGCUCUGAUGCACUCUGGGAGGCAGCAUGGGUGAGAGCAAAGCUGCCACUUGGAUAAAGCCUCUGUUAGCAAGAGACAGGAAAAGACUUCAGCAAUUCUUAUUUCCACUAGACUUGAUGGGGACACGUUGUUUUUGUGAAUAGCUUCUUUGGCUGCUUGCUUAUGUUUAUUUAUUUAUUGUGAAUGGAGACUUUGAUCCUGUAGAAAUGAGACUGAUUUUCCUCAAAGGCUGAAGCAGAAGGAGAAAAUAUCUCAGAACACCUUAUCUUUGUUCUCUGUUCAUCUUCAGCAUGGGAUUUUACAGGAUUUGGAACUUUCUCCACUAGAAACUAUUCACCAAGUAACUGAAACUCUUUUAACAGAGGUUGAAGCAACACUGGCUGAGCAUCAUUUUUGUGCUAAGCACUGACGUAUUCCUUCCAGACUCUUCCUUCACCAUGAAAACAUUGACUGUUUUUGUAGCUCUGACUGGAUCACGGGCUCAUAGAUCAAGAUAUUGUCUUCCAGAGAGCACAACUCUUUUCUUUUAAGGUUCCUUAUUGUGUGAUAAAGUGUGUAAAACCA